GGGGCCAGACGAACAGGUGGAUCACUGGCCUGCAGAGGGCGCUCCGGUGCUGGACGGAGCAAAUUCCAUGAGUCACCAGCAGGAGGCGCCGCAGGGAUAGUCCUGGGAAAACUGAAAACUAAGGGUUGCCAGAAGAAAACAUGAAGGAAACUUUCAGCUGUGAUGAUUGGGAUCAUACUAACCCUGUGAAAGUCUGUAUGGUAUUGUCUGGUAUAUUAUGCUGCUCCUGGGAUUUGGAAACAAUGUAUAUAACAAUGGUUCUGAAGUAACAAAUGAAAGUGUUACAUACAAUGCUACAGAAAUAAACUGCAAGCAACUUUUCAGUUCAUGAUUUUUGCAAUGUAAUGCAUCCUGGGAGAGUUGUUUUAGAAGUGAACUCUGAAAGUUUAACACUGAACUCUAGAGUAAGAAACAACAAACAUUUCACAUUUCUGAUACUGGAUUUUAAUUGUGUUUUGUGAGAUAUUAAAAAAAUACUUUGUGCCUUUUUA